UAUGGACUGUGGCGAGCGGCUGUCUGGUCUGUAACUGACGCUGAGGCUCGAAAGCAUGGGUAGCGAACAGGAUUAGAUACCCUGGUAGUCCAUGCCGUAAACGAUGAAUGCUAGGUGUUGGAGGGUUUCCGCCCUUCAGUGCCGCAGCUAACGCAUUAAGCAUUCCGCCUGGGGAGUACGACCGCAAGGUUGAAACUCAAAGGAAUUGACGGGGGCCCGCACAAGCGGUGGAGCAUGUGGUUUAAUUCGAAGCAACGCGAAGAACCUUACCAGGUCUUGACAUCUUUUGAUCACCUGAGAGAUCAGGUUUCCCCUUCGGGGGCAAAAUGACAGGUGGUGCAUGGUUGUCGUCAGCUCGUGUCGUGAGAUGUUGGGUUAAGUCCCGCAACGAGCGCAACCCUUAUGACUAGUUGCCAGCAUUUAGUUGGGCACUCUAGUAAGACUGCCGGUGACAAACCGGAGGAAGGUGGGGAUGACGUCAAAUCAUCAUGCCCCUUAUGACCUGGGCUACACACGUGCUACAAUGGAUGGUACAACGAGUUGCGAGACCGCGAGGUCAAGCUAAUCUCUUAAAGCCAUUCUCAGUUCGGACUGUAGGCUGCAACUCGCCUACACGAAGUCGGAAUCGCUAGUAAUCGCGGAUCAGCACGCCGCGGUGAAUACGUUCCCGGGCCUUGUACACACCGCCCGUCACACCAUGAGAGUUUGUAACACCCGAAGCCGGUGGCGUAACCCUUUUAGGGAGCGAGCCGUCUAAGUGGGACAAAUGAUUAGGGUGAAGUCGUACAGGGGUACCCCCAAAAA
rnacentral:rRNA from 2 species